GGAGCUUGCUUUAUAUAACUUAGCAGCGAACGGGUGAGUAACACGUAGAUAAUCUAUCCUAUACUGGGGGAUAGCCCGAUGAAAGUUGGAUUAAUACCGCAUAUAGCUAUAUAGUUGCAUGAUUAUGUAGUGAAAGAUUUAUUGGUAUAGGAGGAGUCUGCGGCACAUUAGCUAGUAGGUGAGGUAAAGGCUUACCUAGGCGACGAUGUGUAGCCUGUCUGAGAGGAUGAACGGCCACAAUGGAACUGAGACACGGUCCAUACUCCUACGGGAGGCAGCAGUGGGGAAUAUUGCACAAUGGGGGAAACCCUGAUGCAGCAACGCCGCGUGAGUGAAGAAGGUUUUCGGAUUGUAAAGCUCUGUUAGCAGGGAAGAGGAAGGACGGUACCUGCAGAGGAAGCCACGGCUAACUACGUGCCAGCAGCCGCGGUAAUACGUAGGUGGCAAGCGUUGUUCGGAAUAACUGGGCGUAAAGGAUGCGUAGGCGGUUAAACAAGUUAUAUGUUAAAUAUAUAGGCUUAACCUGUAGAAAGCAUAUAAAACUGUUUAACUAGAGUGCAGGAGAGGUAAGUGGAAUUCCUAGUGUAGCGGUGAAAUGCGCAGAGAUUAGGAAGAACACCAGUGGCGAAGGCGACUUACUGGACUGUAACUGACGCUGAGGCAUGAGAGCAUGGGGAGCAAACAGGAUUAGAUACCCUGGUAGUCCAUGCUGUAAACGAUGGGUACUAGGUGUGGGUUGUGAAUAACAAUUCGUGCCCGUCGCAAACGCAAUAAGUA
rnacentral:rRNA from 1 species